AACGAACGCUGGCGGCAGGCCUAACACAUGCAAGUCGAGCGAAGCCUUCGGGCUUAGCGGCGGACGGGUGAGUAACGCGUGGGAACGUGCCCUUUGGUACGGAAUAGCCCCGGGAAACUGGGAGUAAUACCGUAUGUGGUCGAAAGACGAAAGAUUUAUCGCCAAAGGAUCGGCCCGCGUUGGAUUAGGUAGUUGGUGGGGUAAUGGCCUACCAAGCCGACGAUCCAUAGCUGGUUUGAGAGGAUGAUCAGCCACACUGGGACUGAGACACGGCCCAGACUCCUACGGGAGGCAGCAGUGGGGAAUCUUAGACAAUGGGGGAAACCCUGAUCUGCCAUGCCGCAUGAUCGAUGAAGGCCUUAGGGUUGUAAAGAUCUUUCAGUGGGGAAGAUAAUGACUGUACCCACAGAAGAAGCCCCGGCUAACUCCGUGCCAGCAGCCGCCGCAGUAA
rnacentral:rRNA from 1 species